UACGUAGGGGGCUAGCGUUGUCCGGAAUCAUUGGGCGUAAAGGGCGCGUAGGCGGCUUACCAAGUCAGGCGUGAAAUUCCCGGGCUCAACCUGGGGGCUGCGCUUGAUACUGGUGAGCUUGAAUGCGGGAGAGGAUAGUGGAAUUCCCAGUGUAGAGGUGAAAUUCGUAGAUAUUGGGAAGAACACCGGUGGCGAAGGCGGCUCUCUGGGCCUUUCCUGACGCUGAGACGCGAAAGCGUGGGGAGCGAACCGG
rnacentral:rRNA from 1 species